AGGGUGAGAUCCUCUUAAGGUGCUGCAGAGUAUGAGGAGAGACAAGACUGUCAUGGUCCUGGUCAUCCUCAGCACCAGUGAUACUAUACUGUCAUGGAGGACCACAAAGAGGUGACACAUCAGCAGAUCGCUCAGCAGUCGGAGGGGAUCUGUUUGCACGUGAUCAGUCUGGUGUUACAGAGACAAGUUUCUACAUCCAACAAAAUGUUUUCAAACCUCCUCCCCCUCCACGCCCCAACCCGUUGCCUCAGGUCUGCCGGCACCAACACUCUGAAGACCAUCAGGACUAAGCACCGGACCUGGGGUGACAGGGCCUUCUCAGCUGCUGCACCCUCCCUCUGGAACGCCCUCCCAUCCACAUCCAACAGGCUCCCACCAUUGCAUCUUUUAAACAAACCCUCAAAACUCACCUCUUC